rnacentral:lncRNA from 1 species
UAGUUCAGCACUUUCCACUGCUGGUUGACAGCCUGCCACCGUUUAAAGAUGCGGUACACCGAGGGUCCUUCAUGGAUGAUGAGACCUGAGGCAGCAGGGAGAGGAGAAACAGAGGCCAAAUGAGAGGAAGUGGGUCACGGCCAGGAGACCACAGUCUCUCUGAAUCUAUGCAAGGGUCUCUCUCUGUUGCCCAGGCUGGAGUGCAGUGGUGCGAUCAUGGCUCACUACAGCCUCGACCUCCUGGUUCAAGUGAUUCUCCCGCCUCAGCCUCCCAAGUAGCUGGGACUUCAGGCACACACCACCAUGCCUGGCUAAUUUCUGCAUUUUUUAUAGAUACAGGGUUUUGCCAUGUUGCAGACUGAUCUCAACUCCUGAACUCAAGCGAUCCUCUUGCCUCAGCCUCCCAAACCGCUGGGAUUACAGGCAUGAACCACUGAGCCCAGCUGCCUUUCACACUUCUACUGUGCAUUAGAAUCACCCAAAGAGCUUGUUAAGACAGAUUCCCAGGCUGCAAUCUUGGAGGCCUACUGGCUUAGUAGCUCUGGGCUGAGGCCUGAGAAUAUGCAUUCCUAAGAAACCUCAGGUGAGGCUGAUGCUGCCUGUGUGUGGACUGCUAGGCUAGGACAUGGUUUUUAUUCCUCAUAGAAGGUUCUAAAUUUUGAUCACAAAACUUAUUAUAAGUAAUUUUAAAAAGUAAUCUACUUCCAGAUGUCAUAGACAUGGAAAUGGGAAGAAACGGAAGAAAUAAAUACUUCCUCUCCUAGACCCAAAGACCUUUGUGCCC